CCUACGGGAGGCAGCAGUGGGGAAUAUUGCACAAUGGGGGAAACCCUGAUGCAGCGACGCCGCGUGAGGGAAGAAGUAAUUCGUUACGUAAAGCUCUAUCAGCAGGGAAGAAACACUUACCUUACGUUCAGCAGACGGUACCUGAGUAAGAAGCCCCGGCUAACUACGUGCCAGCAGCCGCGGUAAUACGUAGGGGGCAAGCGUUAUCCGGGUUUACUGGGUGUAAAGGGAGCGUAGACGGUGCGGCAAGUCUGGAGUGAAAUGCCGCAGCUUAACUGCGGGACUGCUUUGGAAACUGGCGAACUAGAGUGCGGGAGGGGUAAGCGGAAUUCGUGGUGUAGCGGUGAAAUGCGUAGAUAUUAGGAGGAACACCGGUGGCGAAGGCGGCUUACUGGACCGUAACUGACGUUGAGGCUCGAAAGCGUGGGGAGCAAACAGGAUUAGAUACCCCUGUAGUC
rnacentral:rRNA from 1 species